AUACAUCUCAAUUCAAUUUUAAUUUAAUCUUAGUUGAAAUCUUAUUGGAUUUCAUUCAAACUUUAGGUCAAAAACUAAUUAAAUCUUAAAUCUUAAAAAAACUCAAAUAAAAUCCUAAAUCCUAAAUCAAAUCAUGAUCAAAUCUUAACUAAACUCUAAAUCCUAAAUCAAAUCUUAAACCCUAAAUCAAAUCCUAAUCAAAUCUUAAAUCCUAAAUCAAAUCCUAAAUCAAAUCCUAAUCUUAAAUCAAAUCCUAACCAAAUCCUAACCAAUUCUAAACCAAAUCCUAAAUCCUAACCAAAUCCUAAGCCUUAAUUAAAUCCUAACCAAAUCUUAAUCCUAAUCUUAAAUCCUAAAUCAAACCCUAAUCAAAUCCUAACCCUAAAUCAAAUCCUAAUCAAAUCUUAAUCCUAAAUCAAAUCCUAGCAAAUCUUAAAUCCUAAACCAAAUUCUAAUCCUAAGCUUAAUCCUAAAUCCUAAAUCAAAUCCUAAUCAAAUCCUAAUUCUAAAUCAAAUUCUAACCAAAUCCUAACCCUAAAUCAAAUCCUAACCAAAGCUUAGUAAUUUCUACAACAGCAUUAAACCUCAAUAAUUAAUGAAUGAACCAUUGAU
rnacentral:lncRNA from 1 species